rnacentral:rRNA from 1 species
GACGAACCGAGCGAACGUUGUUCGGAAUCACUGGGCUUAAAGGGCGCGUAGGCGGGCCGCAAAGUCAGGGGUGAAAGCCUCCAGCUCAACUGGAGAAGUGCCUCUGAUACUGGCGGCCUCGAGGGAGAUAGGGGCGUGCGGAACUUCCGGUGGAGCGGUGAAAUGCGUAGAUAUCGGAAGGAACACCGGUGGCGAAAGCGGCGCGCUGGAUCUCUUCUGACGCUGAGGCGCGAAAGCCAGGGGAGCGAACGGG